CCUACGGGGGGCUGCAGUGAGGAAUAUUGGUCAAUGGACGAGAGUCUGAACCAGCCAAGUAGCGUGAAGGAUGACUGCCCUAUGGGUUGUAAACUUCUUUUAUAUGGGAAUAAAAUGUUCCACGUGUGGGAUUUUGUAUGUACCAUAUGAAUAAGGAUCUGCUAACUCCGUGCCAGCAGCCGCGGUAAUACGGAGGAUCCGAGCGUUAUCCGGAUUUAUUGGGUUUAAAGGGAGCGUAGGUGGAUUGUUAAGUCAGUUGUGAAAGUUUGCGGCUCAACCGUAAAAUUGCAGUUGAAACUGGCAGUUGUGAGUACAGUAGAGGUGGGCGGAAGUCGUGGUGUAGCGGUGAAAUGCUUAGAUAUCACGAAGAACUCCGAUUGCGAAGGCAGAUUACUAAACUGCCACUGACAUUGAUGCUCGAAAGUGUGGGUAUCAAACAGGAUUAGAUACCCGAGUAGUC
rnacentral:rRNA from 1 species